rnacentral:rRNA from 1 species
UACGUAGGGUGCAGGCGUUAAUCGGAAUUACUGGGCGUAAGGCGUGCGCAGGCGGUCUUUUAAGUCAGAUGUGAAAUCCUCGGGCUUAACCUGGGAACUGCGUUUGAAACUGGAAGGCUAGAGUGUGGCAGAGGGGGGUGGAAUUCCACGUGUAGCAGUGAAAUGCGUAGAUAUGUGGAGGAACACCGAUGGCGAAGGCAGCCCCCUGGGCUAACACUGACGCUCACGCACGAAAGCGUGGGGAGCAAACAGG